AGGGGAGUGAAAUAGAACCUGAAACCGUGUGCUUACAAGUAGUCAGAGCCCGUUAAUGGGUGAUGGCGUGCCUUUUGUAGAAUGAACCGGCGAGUUACGAUUUGAUGCAAGGUUAAGCAGUAAAUGUGGAGCCGUAGCGAAAGCGAGUCUGAAUAGGGCGUUUAGUAUUUGGUCGUAGACCCGAAACCAGGUGAUCUACCCUUGGUCAGGUUGAAGUUCAGGUAACACUGAAUGGAGGACCGAACCGACUUACGUUGAAAAGUGAGCGGAUGAACUGAGGGUAGCGGAGAAAUUCCAAUCGAACCUGGAGAUAGCUGGUUCUCUCCGAAAUAGCUUUAGGGCUAGCCUCAAGUGAUGAUUAUUGGAGGUAGAGCACUGUUUGGACGAGGGGCCCCUCUCGGGUUACCGAAUUCAGACAA
rnacentral:rRNA from 1 species